rnacentral:rRNA from 1 species
CCCUAGUAACGGCGAGUGAAGCGGGAUGAGCUCAAAUUUAAAAUCUGGCUGGUUUACUAGUCCGAAUUGUAGUUUACAGAAGCGUUUUCGGUGGCAGCCUGGGUAUAAAUCCUUUGGAAUAGGGUAUCAUAGAGGGUGAGAAUCCCGUCUUUGACUCAGUGCAUGCUACUAUGUGAUACGUUUUCAAAGAGUCGAGUUGUUUGGGAAUGCAGCUCAAAAUGGGUGGUAAAUUUCAUCUAAAGCUAAAUAUUGGCGAGAGACCGAUAGCGAACAAGUACCGUGAGGGAAAGAUGAAAAGAACUUUGAAAAGAGAGUUAAACAGUGCGUGAAAUUGUUGAAAGGGAAACGCUUGACACCAGUCAUGCGGGUGGAAAAUCAGUCUUUGGCAGUGGGGAGGAGUGGGCGUUCAGACCGCAAGGCUGGCGUUUGCUUCAUCUUUGUUGUGAGGGAUGCACUUUUUCACUUGCAGGUCAACAUCAGUUUGCUCUGCUGGACAAAACCCCAAGGGAAGGUGGCAGCUUAGGCUGUGUUAUAGCCCUGGGGCGAUACAGUGGGGUGGACUGAGGUUUUCGCAGUGUGUGCUUUCGGGCAAGGCUGACUGGGUGCUAUGGGAUCGUUCGGUGUACAAUGCAUGCAUUUUGCGCCGUGUCUUUUUCAUACUCGCUCAACUCGGCUCUUCCACACUUAGGAUGUUGACUUAAUGGUUUUAAUCGACCCGUCUUGAAACACGGACCAAGGAGUCUAACAUAUAUGCAAGUGUUUGGGUGGCAAACCCAUGCGCGUAAUGAAAGUGAACGUAGGUGCGAUCCGCAAGGUGCAGCAUCGACCGAUCUUGAUAUUUUUGGAUAGAUUUGAGUAAGAGCAUAUAUGCUGGGACCCGAAAGAUGGUGAACUAUGCCUGAAUAGGGUGAAGCCAGAGGAAACUCUGGUGGAGGCUCGUAGCGAUUCUGACGUGCAAAUCGAUCGUCAAAUUUGGGUAUAGGGGCGAAA